GCAGUGUCAUGUGCCUGUAAUCCCAGCUACUCAGGAGGUUGAGGCAGGAGAAUCGCUUGAACCUGGGAGGCGGAGGUUAUAGUGAGUAGAGAUUUCGCCAUUGCACUCCAGCCUGGGUGACAGAGUGAGAUUACAUCUCAAAAAAAAAAAAAAGAACCUUAAGGGCUAAAAGAGUGGUUUGGUAUCCUUACUGGCAGUUUUGGUUUGCCUUCUCUAAGUGGUCUUGUGCAAUUCCCCAGAGAAAACAUUUGAGGAGGGUUUUUCUCCCACAUGAGAGAGUUUCAUCCCACACAACCCACAGAAUUUGACGGCAAACUUCACGGACCAAGUGUCUGGUUUUAUAUAAGUGGCUGUGGAGUAUGUUUUUCUUUCACAGGUGCACAUUUAUUCUACCUUAGGAAUAAGAAGAGAUCAUUUUAUUUUAAAGAGGGUAGCUUAAACACUGAAUAUCUCUGAGAAUUGGAUGCCAAUCAGGUAGGCUUUUAUUUACUAAAUGAGGGGGAAAAGGGUGGAAAAAAGGAUUAAAACUUCCAAAGCCUUUCUAGCUGAUCUUUGUUUACAACCAUCUGGUGUGCACAGAAGUAUUGUAUAAUCUGGCCUGUAUUUUUCUCUUACUGUGAAACAUAUUGAAACGCUUUAUGUUUAGGUGUGUGUGUAGAAAUUCAUGAAGCUCUUUUAUACACUUUCUUAGUUCCAUCGCAAUUCUCAUUUUAGGAUGUUGUGAGAAGAUAGCCUGGUGAGAGAGCAUAUUCUAAACGUGCCUUGCAAAUUUGGAUUUGUUCUUUCCUAUCUACCAGCCACCUGAUGACUCCCUGUGCAAAGGGCACCGGUUCACAUCAUUUUUUCCAAGUGCUAAAACCUGGAAAGAUAUUUUUUAAAGGACUCACAGAAGCUGUCUUGGGGGUUUGGAAAACAUCACAAAAUUGUUAGCAGACCUUUUGGCUGUGCUAUUUUUAGGAAGUUAACUGUGUUCUUUUAAAGUCAAUUUUUGACAAUGGGACAACGUUUUCCUUGCCCCCACUGAUGUGUGAAAUAUCUACAAUGAAAAACCUCAGUAGAACAUUCCCAAACAGAUACAUUUUAACCUCAGCAACCAUCAGCAACAGGAUAAAAAGUGAUUUAAAAAGAGAAAGGUUUUCGCAAUAUUUAUGCUGCUGUAUCUUCCCCGAAGGAGCUUUUAUUUUACCAUUCAAACGGAAGUUUGUUUUCAAACCAGUCGCUAAAGGAGCAGCGGCAAGAAUCAGCUCUAAGCCAACAGCAAGCGCGCGGGCAAAAGUGGCCGGUUCCCGCAGCCGCCGCGUGGGUCGGCCGCCCGCAGAAGCGCCGUCUUACCUUGAGCGCGCAGGACUGGGAGAGGCUCACGGGCUCCCACGGAGAGGGCCGGGAAGGCUGCGUGCGAUCCGCCGCAGGCGACACGCGCUCGGCUUUUAUGGGCAGGUGGGAGGAGCCGCCCCUCAUGGGUGUUUUCUGUGCAUUUGGGAAUUUGGAAAGCUGCACAGCGGUCGGGAGAAAUGAAGAGCUCCUGAGCCAGGCAAGGGAGGGGAAGCCUGGCGUCCGAGCACGCAGCAGAGCCACAGGGCAGGGCAGGCGGGACCCGGCCCCAGGCAGCCCCCGGCCCGGCCUGUCCCGCCGCCCGCAGGGGAAACUCAGCCCGUCCCUCUCCCGGCACACAAGGCUUAUUGGACGAGAAAUCUGCGCUGCCUGUCCUGUGAGCGUCCAGAGGCCCCUCUUGAGACUUCGGCAGCAUUGAAGUAAAUCCAGCGACCUUGGGGAGGAUCCGUGGACUUGCUGGGGGAGAGAGGAACCUCAGAAGCAGCCUAGGUCUUCCAGCAUCUGCUUAUGUAACAGGAUUUCAGAGCUCUCUGCUGUCUGGUUAUUUUCAGUAUUUAAAACACUCCCAUUCCUAACAACCUGAAAACGUCUUGGUGCCACAGUUCUUAUCAGUGUGUCUUAAACAUUAAGAGAGGAUUCAACCAACAAGUGGCUAAAGGAUCAGUCUGAAAUUACUAAGAAAUGCAUUCAGAGAAAGAAAAACAAGCUCCUUUCACUGCGGAGUGGUGACUCACUUCCUAGCCCAAGCUUGAUUUUUGCCACCAAAGGAAUUAAAGCAUUUUAAAAGAGAACCUGAGACUUGGGUUGGGAAAUACGGUACCGGGAGGGAGGAAAGCGGGGGAAUGGGAGCGGGGGAGGGAUGGGCAGCCUAGAAGAAAUGAAAAAAUGAACUUGUACUGAAUAUGUGUAUAUGUACUGGAUUCAGUGUUCACCACAACCUUAUGAGGUAGCUAUGAUUGAUAUUGAGCAGAUUUUUUUUUCUUAAGUUUGGAGAAAGGCAUCUAUCUCUAAGGGUUUAGACAACGAUCUCAAGCUAGCGAGAGGGAGAGCCACAGCUAGCGAGCUUGCAACCCUUAGGCACUCUUCAGUACAGCAGGCUGCCAUAUAGAACACCUGGGUUGGUCUCAGGUUAGAUCCUGAUGUCUUUGGCUGGUACCAGGUUCCAAGAGAAGGAAACAUGAUGUUGAAAAGCAGAAUUCCUCAAUCUCAGCACUACUGACAUUUUCGGGAGGAUACUCGUCUGUUGCAGGGACCUCUCCUGUGCAUUGUAGAAGGUUAUGCAGUAUUCCUGGCCUCUACCCACCAGAUGCCAGCAGCAGUACCCACUCCGGACUCCCCACCCAGCUGUGAAAAUAAAAAAUGUCCCUAGACAUAGCCACAUGUCCCUAAGGGGCAAAAUCCCCUCUCCUCUUCUAAAGAACUAUUGAUCUAGAAAAGGUUCCACAACUGUGAAAAAGGAUUUUAAAAGAAUCUAUUAAGAAAAUCCCCAGUAGUGCCAUUUGGCUAAUAAUAAUACUUACGACCAUAUGUGCUGCGUUUACACUGGACUUACUUUUUUACAUACGUAUUUCCAUCUGUUAGCUUCAAGAGCUCAAAGCCUCAAUUGCUUCCUUUGUAACUAGGCUCAUUCUCAAUUGGUUACUCCUGGGAGUCAACGAAGUAAACUCCCAUGUGCCUGGGAUAUGAAGAAAGAUCAAUCAUAUAUGAAAUAAAAAAUUCAAGAUUUUUUAUCAUAAACACAAAUUUGACAGAGUUUUUAAAUUUACUCACUAUGUUUUGCAUUACUGAUUAUUUGCCUUAAUUUUUGUAAUUUUUUAUCUCUGUGUUCCCUAUUCAAAUUAUAUUCAAUAUUAUUUUUGGCUGCACAAAGUGAUAACUAGUGGUUUACUAGCUAGCAGAAAAUAAGUGCUCAAUAAAUAUGUAUAGUCUGCGUAAUAUUGAGCACUGACAAUAGAGAACGGUCAGCAUUGGUGAGUUUAAUGAAUGCUUAGAAAGCUAAAACGUUCACAUCAGGUUUUCUGCCCAUUUGCUAUUUAGUUUUACUCUUUUCUUACCCUCCAAAUGGAAAGGAAAACUCCAUACUCAGUUUUCCUUUUCCCAAAACGUAUGUCUUUGGAGGAUGUGGCCAAAUCUACUGAGUGAAGUCUGUCAAACGAAUCUUGUUACUCGACCUAGAAAGAGGACUGCGUUGUCUAGUCUUAGACCUACCCCUGAAAUCAGAUGUGAUUUUACACGCAUGAUACCACUUUUGGAACUUUUUAAUUUAGCAAAGAAAUGUGUUCUGGGUAAAUAAAAUGGGACUCUGUUAGAAGAGAAUCUGGGUGAUAAAGCAUGAUAGUCAAUACCUUUAUCAGAUUAGAACAAACCAUCUUUUCAAUCCUAAAUUAAUGCCUCUCAAACAUUCCAGUUCCAUCACAUAUGUGUGAAAAAAAGAAAAGGAAAAGGCAAGAAAAGCAUAUUUGAAGAAAAGACAAUGGAUGGCUGUAGGCUGUCUUUCUUGUGUUUUCUCCUUUCCUCCUUUCAAACCUGAAUAUCCAGCCAACAGAACAAAAGCGCUGCUUUCAUUUUGUUCGGAUGGUGCUAAUGAUUAGUUCCUUUCUCCAGUUCACACUUGCCUGAGUCUGAUUCAGGAGCGGACCUGGACAACAACUUGGGAAUCCAGGAAUGUGAUCUCUUUGCUGACGCUGAGUAUGCCCUUCCUAGAAUCUCUCUGAAGGUGACUUAGGUUUGAAAUGACCUAGUUUGGUCUUGUGUGGAAAGAAUGGAAUCCAAUGACAACAUGCUAGAUGUUCUGAAGUUUCCAUUGUGUGCCUGUAACAGCCACAGAUCAUUACCUUACUUCUGACAGCUUUGCACAUGUAAUCCUUUCUUGGAGUUUAUUUAGAAUUAAUCAGUUAACAAAUAUUUAUUAAGAGUGGAUAUCAGAGAGUGUGAGGUAUUCAAAGCAGAGGAAAAUAUGACCUCUGUUCUCGCAGAGGAAGAAAAGCUUGAAAUUCAGAUAGCUGAAUUUUAGUAAAGAAACUUCAGAGGGAGGUGGCAUUUGGGCUGAGCCAUGGAAAGUAGCAUUUGAAUAGAUGAGUGAUGGACAGAAGUACAUUCCAGGUGAGCGAGGGAAUGUGUGCACCCAGGGAAGUCCCGGGAAUAUUAUUCAGAAGGUGGUGAAGUGGCCAGCAUGACUGAACACAUGGGUCCAUGCAGUGGAACGAUGAGGCUGAGAAACGGAGAGGAGGGAUGAGGUCAGUUGUGGAAGGUCUUAAAUGUCACCUCAGUAGUCUGAAGUGCAUUCUGUAGGCAACACAAAAUCAACGAAGACUUUUGAGUAGUAGAAUGGCAUGGUGAAAAAUGGCAUAUUUUCAGGAUUUCAUUUUUCUUUGAAUAUAGGGUCUUUAUUGUAGCUUUGCAGAAGAAUGCUUGCCUGAACAUCUUGGGUUGUUACCAUACUUAGCAAUACAGAAAACAGAGUCUCUGUGUCCUGCAGAUUUGGAGGCCUGAGCAAGGUGGCAGCAACAGUAGUGGUUCUAGCCCAGUUUCCCCGGAGUGCCCAUGUGGUUUUAGGAAGCCGGUAGGAAGGCAGGACUCCUCACAGUGUGGCCAGGAUGUCAUAUGGGAUUCACAUGAAGGGUGGUGUCUUCUCUGCGUGUCUGAGGAGCCCAGUCUCUUCCUCGCCUCCUGUAGCUUUGUAUUAUUCCUAAAUAACAUGCCUGAUGCAUGAGAUCCUUGAGUUUUUAAGGAUUCCUGGAGUGGGAAACAAUGGGAUCUGGCUUUUAAAACCGCACAUUCACGUCUAUGUUCUCAACAGCUAACUUUCAAUUAUUUUUUUUGUGUGUUGUCCUUGCCAGAUUUCAAGCUUUCAUUCUUCCUUUCACUCCUUAGAGCUUGAAAAUGCAAAUGAAUGUGGCUUUUGGCCUAAGCAAAAGUCACAGACAGGUGUGCUCACUUGAAACAAAUCUGCCAAUUUGAAAUAUGGUGUACUGAAAUUUGCUCUCCCUCAAAUGACUCAUCAGUCAGUUUUAGCCCGUGCUAAGCAUGACCAAAUAUGAUGGCAGUCUCUAAGGCGCUUAAAAUUGCCAACCCUCCUAUGGCAUUUAAAAUGGGGUUUUAUUUACAAAAAUGGAAAACGCUUUAUAGCGCAGAAGAAAGGCACACCUCUUACACAUUCCAAAGGACUGUUGGAUUUUGUGAGUCACUGUUUUCCUGUUGGCCCAUGGGGUAGAGCUGACUGAUGGGGGUGAUCCCACGGAUGACUGCCUCACAGCUCCCGCUGGCUUGGUAAAGAGCACUGCAUGGGGAGUCAGGAAAUCUGGAAUUUAGUCCAAGCUCUGCCACUGACUACCUACGUGAAAACUUGGAGUGAAAACUUGGGGCAGGUGUUUUAUCUUUUUGGAUUCAGUGUCUGCAUUUGCAAAUGUGUUUGCAUUUGUAAGACAAGGAAGCUUAACCAGACCCUCUCUAAGGCUCUUUCCACUUUCCAGAUGCCUGCUCUGUGCCAGUUGGUGGGCACUCCACCUACUCAACAUCCCCAUGAAGUCAACCCAACAUACAAUGAUAUACAUGCUCAAUUUAGGCACGUGUAUUCAGAUUCUCCAGAUUAACAGCACCAGUAGGAGGUGCACACACACACACACACACACACACACACAUACACACACCCCACAUACAUAAUAUAAAAAACUCAUGUAUAUAUAUGAGUUUAUUAGGGAUAACUGAAUUGCAUGAAUACAAGGCAAAGUCCCACCAUAGGCCACCUGCAAGCUGGGGAAAGAGAGAAGCUGGUAGUGGCUGAAGCCUCAAAACCAGGGAUACUGACAGUGCAGCCCUCAGCCUGAGGCCAAAGGCCUGAGAGCCCAUGGGGGCUGCUGCUGUGAGUCCCAGAGUCCAAAGGCUGAAGAACCUGGAGUCUGAUGUCCAAGGACAGGAGGAGGAGAAGCUGAGCUUCCAGCACCGCACAGGAAGAGAGAGAGAACAAUCUGACUCAGAAAGCAGCUUCUUCCGCCUGCUUUGUUCUAGCUGCCCUGGCAGCUGCUUGGAUGGUGCCCACUUACACUGAGGAUGUCUCUUCCUCUCCCAGUCCACUGACUCAAAUGUCUGUCUCCUCUGGCAACGCCCUCACAGACCCACCCAGAAGCAAUGCUUCAUCUGCCAUCUAGGUAUUCCUCAAGCCAGUCAGGUUGAUGCCUGACGUUAACCAUCACGACAUGGAAAUAAGAGCUCACAAUUCAUUACUCCAGUGUUUGCUACAGGGAGUGCACACCGUAAUAUUAAACCUUAUUUGUACCCUAGGUACAGAAUCCCAAAGGGUGGGGCAGACCACUGUUCCUCAAGUAGCUCUUGACUGCAUCCAUUGCCUCUCUAAGUUUCAGGACUUGCUAAGCACCUCCUAGACCAGCCAUCUACCUUUUAACGCUAUUCUUCUGAAGCAAAUAGUAUUGUCCUUUUGAUUGAUGGAAAUGUAACCACAUCACACAGUUCUCUGGUUUCUGAACAUUUUCCCUAUCAUGCCAGAUUCACUUGAUGUCUGAAUACAUUAGGUCGAUUUCCUAAGAAGCUCUCAACUUCCACUGUACACUGUUUCCUCUCCCCAGUGCUGCACCCCUUCAUUUAAGUAGGAAAAAUUGGUCACCCUUUUUUGCUAUAGACAAAAUUAUUGUAGCUCUUUCUCAUUUUCCAAGCUAUUAGUCUUUUAUUGAAGUCUCUGAACCCUUUUUCCAGCUUUCGCUCUCCCUAUUAUGUCAACGAAAGUCACUUCAACCUUUUUUCUAUUCCUUAAGAAAUUUAAUUGUUGAGAUUAUCUCAUGGGGGCCAAGUAAUGGAGGGAGACCAAUGUAGCCCAGGUAUUUUUUUUUCCUACUCGAGGGUAGAAAACUAAAAAGCCUUCCAGGGCAGUAGAGAAACAGAAUUCGUGCCCACUGUGUGCUCUCUUAGACCCUAGCUACCACAUGGGAAUUGUCUUGAUCCUAGACUUUCCUGAUGAAUGUUUCCUUAUCUCUGCUUUAUCUUCUAUCUUCUGUUCCUUCUACUCAAGGGAUUUAGUCUCUUAUGUACUUAUUAAUAUUUACCUCAUAUUCAGUGUUAAUAAAUCCAAUAUUUUCUGCUCGCAGUUAUAUCUUACACAACCUAAGAUUUUUCAUGAUUUGAAAACUCUGAUUUGAAAGGCAAAAAUGAUGAUCUGAGAUGAGAGAUCUAGCAGGUUGUGCUGGCCUGAGACUGGCAAGUCCUAUUCCCAAGUCACCUCCCGUGUUGCCUCCAGAGCAGUCACCGUAAACCCAGCAAUGAUCAUGUGAUACCCGCGUUCAGGCGUUGUUGAUGGCAUCACUCAUUCACAGAAAAACCUAAAUCUGUGUUUGGCGUUCAAGGCCCCUUUGCAAGGUUCAGGCCCAGUUUUUACUUCUGGUCUGAUUUACAUUCUUUAUGCUUCAGUCAGGGGAAAUAAUCUGCCUUUCAAAAUAUUUGUUCUACUUCUCGGCUUCUGCGUGGUGGCUGAUGGAAUGCCUGCUGCUGGGGCCUGCGGACACAUGCUCAAAUCCUUUAUUACCUCCAUGACACCUUCAAGAAAUGCUUGCUGGCUAGUUUUCUGAACCGCCUAGGAAAAUUGGUACUUCUCUAUGCAAUAGUUUUGCAGUCCACCUCGUCUUAUACAUAUGCUAACCUCUUCUUUUCAACUUUACUGCCCUUUCCUUGAAAGCCUAGCCCUCUUCCCUGACACCAAGCCUAGCAUAGAGUAAGGAGGUCGAUAUUAACUGUGGGUUGUGGAGAUUAAAAAAUAAAUAAUUAAAUAGUCUCUUACCUUUCUCUGUUCCCAGCCCACUUUACCUCAUUUGGCUCAAAACAAAACAAAAACAAACAUUUAGAGUUUCCUAGUCCAUUUCUUGCAGGAUCAUAGAAAUGAGUUCUGAAGAUCAAUAUGGCUUGCUUCCCACUUUUGAGGAUUUUAAAUAGUCUUACAGGGGAGGGAGGAAGACAAAUAGAUAAUUUCCCUUCACCGAGGUCAGUUCUACGGGAACAGUAAGUACAGGGCUCUAUAGGAGAUCUGAUGGAGCCCGCUCAUGGGAGGGAGCUUUGAGGUGGUUACUCAGAAUGCCAGGUAUGAGAAAACAUCUUUAAGUAACACACAGAAAAGAAAAGCUUGGUUCAUCUCUGUGCUUUUUGGGAUAAAAAGACAAUGAUAUGCUUUAUAUAUUUUGGUUGAAGAUCGGGAGGUUCUGGCUGCAUGUUGGCCAGGAAACUAACUCUUUCUGCCAGGUGAGUCAGUCGAGGUGGGAGGGUUAUUUGAACAGAUGUGUUUCAACAUUGCUUUGAAAUAUAAAGGGUCAGAAUAUACUCUUCUGUAAAUACCACUGCACACUAAGAGUCUUGCCUGACUGACUGAACAAAAAUCACACCUAAUGCUAAAUGCACUUGGGAACUGGAAUACUUAAUUUUGGGCCCUCUGUGAUGGCUUGACACUCUCAUGGUGUCUAAUUCCCAUCUAUUUCCUUUAAGAUAAAUAAUCUUCUAAGAUAUCCUCAGAGUCUCUGUGACAUUGACGGGGGCAAUUUAGAGCUCCAUAGACCUUGGCUUCUGUAUUAUUUAUGAAUUGAUUCCCUAAAUGUGGACAUAUAAUGGUUGGCCCUUGUCAUUUCUGCUUAGAACCACCAUAUGGUUUUGUGAGCGCACUGAGCUUGCCAGUACCAGAUCUCUCCAUUUCUGGCAGCCUGUUUGUUUUCCUAGAAGGAAAGUCAGACUCUUGGAGUUUCAUUUUAUGCAUAAGGAAAUAGGUAAGUCCCUUUGCCAGAACAUCACAGCCAUUGCACGUGACUAAAUGAACUUCAGAUCACUAGGUAAAGGAGUGGGAAGAGACAUGACCUGUUAAGCAACGAGACUUAAAUUCUUGUGCAAAAAAAGUGGUCAGAUCUCAUGAAGCUCCGUAAGUUGUAACUCAUAGUUUUGGCCUUCUUGGAUUUCAUAGAAGGAAUUUGUGUCAUUCUGUCUUGGUCUCGUUUCUUCUGUUUUCUAAUUUCCUUAUUCUCUCACAUUUUUUAUUUAUCCUUUCCGCAUUUUGCAUUCUGUCUGGAACACUUCAUUUUUUAUUAGACUUUCUGUGCUGUAUUUAUUAUCGUAGCAUAGAGAGUUUUUGUUUGUUUGUUUAGACAGGGUCUCACUCUAUCACCUAGGCUGUAGUGCACUGGCACAAUCUAGUCUUACUGUGACCUCCACCUCCAGGGCUCAGGCAAUCCUCACAUCUCAGCCUCCCAAGUUGCUGGGACCACAGACAU